UUGGGAAGAGAAGGCAGUGUUGAGAGUGCUAGAUCUGGAACAGGACGAGCUUGGGCUGCAUCGGUGUGUUUGCUGCUGCUGAAUUUGCUAACUACUACUGCUCCCUAUAGCGUUAUUACAUUUGGCUUCGUGCUUUACCAACGACCUCUCCUUCUAGACCUGGCUACGCAGGUCAUCGGAGACGGAGAGGAUAGUGGAGUAUAUAGUAAGUACUUUGUUUUAUGUGUGUGUGGCUAAUGGGUUGAUUCCAUUUUAUGCAGGCUCUGGUUCUCAACCUCCAACAUGAGUCCCUUUCUUCCGUGCCUCGAACGCCACGCGUCAUCAUGGGCACUGCAGAUGCGGAGGAGUUUUACCCGGGCGAUCUGAUUGUUCCCGGCCGCGCUGGUGUCAACUACCUCGAGCCACUAUGACCAUCCCAACCACGCUCACCCCCCUGCAAGUCAUGUGUUUCUCCUACCAGAUCAAAACAAUUGUCAAUUUUUGGAGUACAGUUGUGUAUCAGAUCCGUUCAUGAUUGAAAUCGUGGUCCCCUAAACAUGUGAUUUGUGAAAUAUUUAGGAACGAAUUGUUUGUGGAUCUGCAAAGGGGGAUUCAAUUAAUUUUCAGUUGUAGAAAAGGGAGAAGGGGGAUUCAAUUAAUUUUCCUCCUCAAGAUCAAAGAAACAAAAUCUUUGUGGCGAUGAUAGAAGGGGUUCACGACUUCACGUUAAUACACAGACUAUUGGUAAGGGCAUUAAAACAUAUAUCUGGUGUGAAAUGGUCGUACAUGCUUGAUUAGAAUAUUUUCAAGUGUUGUAGGUGUACGGCUGUGGGGAAACAUUUUCAUGGUCUAAUUUUCUAAUUAAUGUAUGCACGAGACAUGAAUCUUGGAUUCUAAACUUUUUCCUCGAUGUUUGGGCUUCCUCUAACUUUUCGUAUAUUGCACACAACACAACACAUAGAUUCAUGUCUUCCAUGCUUGCUGUCUUGUAACAAACAGAUGUUGGGAUGGAUACUAAUUUUCUAAAUGAUUUGAACUCAUGUUGUUUUCUAUUCUACUGUCAUUGGUUCAUCAUUCUGAACCAUUCAAUUGUUGGAACUCCGGCAUAUAUUGGUCCUGAAGUUAUGCUGAAGAAAGAAUAUGACACAAGCUACGAUCCAUCCUAUUUUGUGCUUUAAACGGUCUGCUGCAUACUCUGCCAUCUGCUGCAUAACUUAAUUCUGUUUGCUCGGCCAUAAAAGCCUUACUUGAUUUCUGAAUCUUCCAUUCACCUUUCGUUGUCAUGAGUGGUGAAUGGUCUUGAGGAGUAACCAUUUAGAUACUGUAUGUUUUUUUGCUCAAACAUGAUCUCGACAUUGAUAAUAGCAGAGAGAUAAUAUAUGCCUUAUAAUCUUGUAACUGUAGAAAAAAGUAUAGAUAACCCCCAGAAGUAUCCUGUUUGGAUCACAUAACCCCCCCAUGUUUAAAACCAAGUUCUUAAUCCCCUGAACUAUUCUAAACCAG
rnacentral:lncRNA from 1 species